rnacentral:tRNA from 1 species
GGUAAUGUGACUUACUGGUAGAGUGCUUGUCUAGCAUGCAUGAAGCCCUGGGUUCAAUUCCUCAGUACCA